AUCCAGCUGAUGAGUUCCAAAUGGGACGAAACGCGCGUCCUGGAU
rnacentral:hammerhead_ribozyme from 1 species